ACAGGGUCAACAACAACUGAGGCAACUACUCAAGUUUCCACAACCGCCACCUCUGCAACCACUUUACAACAGGCCCUUCCACCUCAGAAUCAACAACUGCCAUAUCUCCUGCCACCAGAUGGCAACAACGCUGCGCCUGUGGUCAGUUUACCUAUAAAUCAAAUGCCAACCUACCCUUAUUUUGUACCCAAUCUUUAUCCACCACAAAGCCAGUCAGCAGUUAAUUACAAUGCACCCUCUGGACACCAGGCUCCUGUUAAUUGGCAAGGAAAUCCAUAUUAUAUACAGCCCCCACAGUCGCAAAUGAGUCAACUAUUACCUUUUGGUGCUCAAUAUCUACAGCAUUUGGCAAACCAGCAAAGGGAGCCCAGAGCCACCGAACUAACACCAUCUAAUGUGAACCCCAGUGAUUCUGAAGAGCCAAUGCGAGCUAAAGUCCAAAGUGUAGCUGAUCGUUUUCUUGUCCCUAACCCCAUGCUUCAAGAUGCCCGAGCACCUAUUGCAAACUCCUCACAACAAUUUCUUAGUGCCUUAAAGAAAUCUACCAACCAUGAUCAGAUAAUCCAAACCGACGCGCGAUCAAAGAGUUAUGUGCUGCUACAGCAGGGCCCACCAGGUAGGGAGCGCAAGAGCAACACUGAAGAUCUGCAUGCUGACACAACCCUCCAGUCACAAAAUCGUAAACCCCAUCAUGGGAAUUCAAAUCCCCCACAGGAUAACUCCCCAUUUGUCUCUGCAAUGGAUGACUCUACUUUUGCACCAUUGCCCAAGGAGUCUUUCAAUACAGCGCAUAUAAAUCCUGAAUUAUUAGAAAAAAUUUGGAAACUCAGGCGAACCCUCGGCUACAACCAAAGGAUUCCAGCCCACGCUCCUGGACAGGAAUUUCAAGGAUGGCGCUCAGCAGCUGACCAAAGGGACUGGAACUAUGCGCCCAGAGAGGUGAAGAACAUCAGAACUAGAAACUAGUUGCAUUCAAUUUGAAUAAAUGAUUAAAACAGUA